UGCGUAGGUGGCGAGGUAAGUUGGAUGUGAAAUCCCGGGGCUUAACCCUGGAACUGCAUUCAAUACUGCCUUGCUCGAGUACUGGAGAGGAGAUUGGAAUUUACGGUGUAGCAGUGAAAUGCGUAGAUAUCGUAAGGAAGACCGGUGGCGAAGGCGGAUCUCUGGACAGUUACUGACACUGAGGCACGAGGGCCAGGGAGGCAAAACGG
rnacentral:rRNA from 1 species